AUACGAAGGGGGCUAGCGUUGUUCGGAAUUACUGGGUCGUAAAGCGCAUGUAGGCGGACAUUUAAGUCAGGGGUGGAAUCCCGGGGCUCAACCUCGGAACUGCCUUUGAUACUGGGUGUCUAGAGUGUGGAAGAGGUAAGUGGAAUUCCGAGUGUAGAGGUGAAAUUCGUAGAUAUUCGGAGGAACACCAGUGGCGAAGGCGGCUUACUGGUCCAUUACUGACGCUGAGGUGCGAAAGGCGUGGGGAGC
rnacentral:rRNA from 1 species